rnacentral:rRNA from 1 species
AGUGAACGCUGGCGGUAGGCCUAACACAUGCAAGUCGAACGGCAGCACAGUAAGAGCUUGCUCUUACGGGUGGCGAGUGGCGGACGGGUGAGGAAUACAUCGGAAUCUACUUUUUCGUGGGGGAUAACGUAGGGAAACUUACGCUAAUACCGCAUACGACCUACGGGUGAAAGCAGGGGAUCUUCGGACCUUGCGCGAUUGAAUGAGCCGAUGUCGGAUUAGCUAGUUGGCGGAGUAAAGGCCCACCAAGGCGACGAUCCGUAGCUGGUCUGAGAGGAUGAUCAGCCACACUGGAACUGAGACACGGUCCAGACUCCUACGGGAGGCAGCAGUGGGGAAUAUUGGACAAUGGGCGCAAGCCUGAUCCAGCCAUACCGCGUGGGUGAGGAAGGCCUUCGGGUUGUAAAGCCCUUUUGUUGGGAAAGAAAAGCAGCAGGUUAAUACCCCGCUGUUCUGACGGUACCCAAAGGAUAAGCACCGGCUAACUUCGUG